rnacentral:lncRNA from 1 species
GAGCUGACAGCAGCCUCUGGAUGUACUCCCGUGCAUCUGGAAGGGGAGAGAAUCACAGACGAUGUAAUUUCAACAAGGACGAUUUCGGUCUUUUGCAAAGACCCUUCUAUUAGCAGGGAGCAGCUUGGAUGCUCCUCCUUGUGGCCAGUCUCCAGAGGAGGCCUACUGCUCACCAGACGUGUGGAUGAACGAACCUGAACAGCCUGGAGGCUGGUGAUAUAUACCCCCACAGCGCUUCUUCCUUGGUCCCCCAAGCAGGCUCCAUAACUCCAAGACUUCACGCAGCCUUUUCUGAACUUGGAAGUCAAGAGAAAAUUCACAGAACUUUGGAAAAUACGUUUUCUUUUAAGGAAGAAUUUUUUGUUUUCAUUUCAACAGCCCUGGCUGGUGAUGAGGGGCGAAGCGAGGUGCCCUGUUUUCCAUCCUAACACCUAUUUCCAGGUGGGGGCAGGGAGGGCUCCAACCUGAAAUGUUAUUUCAAAACCUUUCCGGGCCUUGCAGCUCCAUUUCCAGGCCACAUGCUACAAAGCACGGCACGAUUUCCCAUUACGUGCUGUUGCCCUUUCUGGUCUGAUCACCUUUCAAAGUGGGAAGACCCAGCCUGCUGCAACACCCUCCCUCCUGUCCCCAUAAAUUAAGUCUCACUGCCUGAUGUGAGGCUUAAAUAAAUAGCCUUGCCCGGCACCCGAUGGCCACACUCCUGAUAGAUGGGCUUGCCAAGAGCAGCAAACUCAGCUCGCUCCUCCUGGCCCCUCCACAGAGAGAAGAUGAAACUGGUGUUUUGCAAAUGCUUCCUGCCUGCUUUCUGCCAGC